UACGGGAGGCAGCAGUGGGGAAUAUUGCACAAUGGGCGCAAGCCUGAUGCAGCCAUGCCGCGUGUAUGAAAAAGGCCUUCGGGUUGUAAAGUACUUUCAGUCGUGAGGAAGGUGUUAAGGUUAAUAACCUUAGCAAUUGACGUUAGCGACAGAAGAAGCACCGGCUAACUCCGUGCCAGCAGCCGCGGUAAUACGGAGGGUGCGAGCGUUAAUCGGAAUUACUGGGCUAAAGGGCACGCAGGCGGUUAAUUAAGUUGGAUGUGAAAUCCCCGGGCUUAACCUGGGAAUGGCAUUCAAGACUGGUUAGCUAGAGUCUUGUAGAGGGGGUUAGAAUUCCAUGUGUAGCGGUGAAAUGCGUAGAGAUGUGGAGGAAUACCGGUGGCGAAGGCGGCCCCUGGACAAAGACUGACGCUCAUGUGCGAAAGCGUGGGGAGCAAACAGGGAUUAGAUACC
rnacentral:rRNA from 1 species